rnacentral:rRNA from 1 species
AUUGAACGCUGGCGGCAGGCCUAACACAUGCAAGUCGAGCGAGCGGCGGACGGGUGAGUAAUGUAUGGGGACUGCCCGAUAGAGGGGGAUAACUACUGGAAACGGUGGCUACUACCGCAUACUAUCGGAUAACCCAUAUGGGAUUAGCUAGUAGGUGGGGUAAAGGCUCACCUAGGCGACGAACCCUAGCUGGUCUGAGAGGAUGAUCAGACACAAUGAGACUGAGACACGGCCCAGACUCCUACGGAGGCAGCAGUGGGGAAUAUUGGACAAUGGGCGAAAGUCUGAACGAGCAAGGCCGCGUGAGUGAAGAAGGUUUUCGGAUCGUAAAAAUCUGUUGUUAUAGAAGCGGUAUCUAAACAGAAAGCCACGGCUAACUACGUGCCAGCAGCCGCGGUAAUAC